rnacentral:rRNA from 1 species
UACGGAGGAUGCAAGCGUUAUCCGGAAUCAUUGGGCGUAAAGGGUGCGUAGGUGGCGGGGUAAGUCAGGUGUGAAAUUUCGGAGCUUAACUCCGAAACUGCAUUUGAUACUGCCUUGCUUGAGGACUGGAGAGGAGACUGGAAUUCACGGUGUAGCAGUGAAAUGCGUAGAUAUCGUGAGGAAGACCAGUGGCGAAGGCGGGUCUCUGGACAGUUCCUGACACUGAGGCACGAAGGCCAGGGGAGCAAACGGG